CGCUGACCUGCACAGCUCGGGGGCCCCGGCUGCAGGAGGGUCCUCGCUGUCCUGUGCCCUCCCCAUCUCUGCCUGUCCCGGGGAAGCGCAGGAUCCUGGGCUGUGUCCCCCGGUGCCCUGGGAUCCUGGGCCUG
rnacentral:miRNA from 1 species